UUAAGCGACUAAGCGUACACGGUGGAUGCCCUGGCAGUCAGAGGCGAUGAAGGACGUGCUAAUCUGCGAAAAGCGUCGGUAAGGUGAUAUGAACCGUUACAGCCGGCGAUGUCCGAAUGGGGAAACCCAGUGCAAUUCGUUGCACUAUCGUUAACUGAAUACAUAGGUUAACGAGGCGAACCGGGGGAACUGAAACAUCUAAGUACCCCGAGGAAGAGAAAUCAACCGAGAUUCCCCCAGUAGCGGCGAGCGAACGGGGAUCAGCCCAGAGUCUGAAUCAGCUUGUGUGUUAGUGGAACGGUCUGGAAAGUCCGACGGUACAGGGUGAUAGUCCCGUACACCAAAAUGCACAGGCUGUGAACUCGAAGAGUAGGGCGGGACACGUGGUAUCCUGUCUGAAUAUGGGGGGACCAUCCUCCAAGGCUAAAUACUCCUGACUGACCGAUAGUGAACCAGUACCGUGAGGGAAAGGCGAAAAGAACCCCGGCGAGGGGAGUGAAAAAGAACCUGAAACCGUGUACGUACAAGCAGUGGGAGCACCUUCGGGUGUGACUGCGUACCUUUUGUAUAAUGGGUCAGCGACUUAUAUUCUGUAGCAAGGUUAACCGUAUAGGGGAGCCGCAGGGAAACCGAGUCUUAACUGGGCGUUAAGUUGCAGGGUAUAGACCCGAAACCCGGUGAUCUAGCCAUGGGCAGGUUGAAGGUUGGGUAACACUAACUGGAGGACCGAACCGACUAAUGUUGAAAAAUUAGCGGAUGACUUGUGGCUGGGGGUGAAAGGCCAAUCAAACCGGGAGAUAGCUGGUUCUCCCCGAAAGCUAUUUAGGUAGCGCCUCGUGAACUCAUCUCCGGGGGUAGAGCACUGUUUCGGCAAGGGGGUCAUCCCGACUUACCAACCCGAUGCAAACUGCGAAUACCGGAGAAUGUUAUCACGGGAGACACACGGCGGGUGCUAACGUCCGUCGUGAAGAGGGAAACAACCCAGACCGCCAGCUAAGGUCCCAAAGUCAUGGUUAAGUGGGAAACGAUGUGGGAAGGCCCAGACAGCCAGGAUGUUGGCUUAGAAGCAGCCAUCAUUUAAAGAAAGCGUAAUAGCUCACUGGUCGAGUCGGCCUGCGCGGAAGAUGUAACGGGGCUAAACCAUGCACCGAAGCUGCGGCAGCGACACUAUGUGUUGUUGGGUAGGGGAGCGUUCUGUAAGCCUGCGAAGGUGACCUGUGAGGGUUGCUGGAGGUAUCAGAAGUGCGAAUGCUGACAUGAGUAACGAUAAAGCGGGUGAAAAGCCCGCUCGCCGGAAGACCAAGGGUUCCUGUCCAACGUUAAUCGGGGCAGGGUGAGUCGACCCCUAAGGCGAGGCCGAAAGGCGUAGUCGAUGGGAAACAGGUUAAUAUUCCUGUACUUGGUGUUACUGCGAAGGGGGGACGGAGAAGGCUAUGUUAGCCGGGCGACGGUUGUCCCGGUUUAAGCAUGUAGGCUGGUUGUCCAGGCAAAUCCGGAUAAUCAAGGCUGAGGUGUGAUGACGAGGCACUACGGUGCUGAAGUAACAAAUGCCCUGCUUCCAGGAAAAGCCUCUAAGCAUCAGGUAACAUUAAAUCGUACCCCAAACCGACACAGGUGGUCAGGUAGAGAAUACCAAGGCGCUUGAGAGAACUCGGGUGAAGGAACUAGGCAAAAUGGUGCCGUAACUUCGGGAGAAGGCACGCUGGUGUGUAGGUGAAGUCCCUGCGGAUGGAGCUGAGACCAGUCGAAGAUACCAGCUGGCUGCAACUGUUUAUUAAAAACACAGCACUGUGCAAACACGAAAGUGGACGUAUACGGUGUGACGCCUGCCCGGUGCCGGAAGGUUAAUUGAUGGGGUUAUCCGUAAGGAGAAGCUCUUGAUCGAAGCCCCGGUAAACGGCGGCCGUAACUAUAACGGUCCUAAGGUAGCGAAAUUCCUUGUCGGGUAAGUUCCGACCUGCACGAAUGGCGUAAUGAUGGCCAGGCUGUCUCCACCCGAGACUCAGUGAAAUUGAACUCGCUGUGAAGAUGCAGUGUACCCGCGGCAAGACGGAAAGACCCCGUGAACCUUUACUAUAGCUUGACACUGAACAUUGAGCCUUGAUGUGUAGGAUAGGUGGGAGGCUUUGAAGCGUGGACGCCAGUCUGCGUGGAGCCAACCUUGAAAUACCACCCUUUAAUGUUUGAUGUUCUAACGUUGGCCCCUUAUCGGGGUUGCGGACAGUGUCUGGUGGGUAGUUUGACUGGGGCGGUCUCCUCCCAAAGCGUAACGGAGGAGCACGAAGGUUAGCUAAUCCUGGUCGGACAUCAGGAGGUUAGUGCAAUGGCAUAAGCUAGCUUGACUGCGAGCGUGACGGCGCGAGCAGGUGCGAAAGCAGGUCAUAGUGAUCCGGUGGUUCUGAAUGGAAGGGCCAUCGCUCAACGGAUAAAAGGUACUCCGGGGAUAACAGGCUGAUACCGCCCAAGAGUUCAUAUCGACGGCGGUGUUUGGCACCUCGAUGUCGGCUCAUCACAUCCUGGGGCUGAAGUAGGUCCCAAGGGUAUGGCUGUUCGCCAUUUAAAGUGGUACGCGAGCUGGGUUUAGAACGUCGUGAGACAGUUCGGUCCCUAUCUGCCGUGGGCGCUGGAGAAUUGAGGGGGGCUGCUCCUAGUACGAGAGGACCGGAGUGGACGCAUCACUGGUGUUCGGGUUGUCAUGCCAAUGGCACUGCCCGGUAGCUAAAUGCGGAAGAGAUAAGUGCUGAAAGCAUCUAAGCACGAAACUUGCCCCGAGAUGAGUUCUCCCUGAGACUUUAAGUCUCCUGAAGGAACGUUAAAGACGAUGACGUUGAUAGGCCGGGUGUGUAAGCGCAGCGAUGCGUUGAGCUAACCGGUACUAAUGAACCGUGAGGCUUAACCUU
rnacentral:rRNA from 1 species